rnacentral:tRNA from 1 species
UUCAAUAUAGUUUAAUUUUAAAAUUUUAUUUUUGGGUAGUAAAGAUCUUUUUUAAGUUUUGGCC